rnacentral:rRNA from 1 species
UGGCAUCGCAGCUUACCAUGCAAGUCGAGGGGUAUGCUUCUUCGGGAGCAGAGACCGGCGCACGGGUGCGUAACGCGUAUGCAAUCUACCUUUCACAGAGGGAUAGCCCAGAGAAAUUUGGAUUAAUACCUCAUAGUAUAGCAGUUUCGCAUGAAACCACUAUUAAAGUCACAACGGUGAAAGAUGAGCAUGCGUCCCAUUAGCUAGUUGGUAAGGUAACGGCUUACCAAGGCAACGAUGGGUAGGGGUCCUGAGAGGGAGAUCCCCCACACUGGUACUGAGACACGGACCAGACUCCUACGGGAGGCAGCAGUGAGGAAUAUUGGACAAUGGGCGCAAGCCUGAUCCAGCCAUGCCGCGUGCAGGAUGACGGUCCUAUGGAUUGUAAACUGCUUUUAUACGAGAAGAAACCCUCCGACGUGUCGGAGCUUGACGGUAUCGUAAGAAUAAGGAUCGGCUAACUCCGUGCCAGCAGCCGCGGUAAUACGGAGGAUCCAAGCGUUAUCCGGAAUCAUUGGGUUUAAAGGGUCCGUAGGCGGUCAGGUAAGUCAGUGGUGAAAGCCCAUCGCUCAACGGUGGAACGGCCAUUGAUACUGUCUGACUUGAAUUAUUAGGAAGUAACUAGAAUAUGUAGUGUAGCGGUGAAAUGCUUAGAGAUUACAUGGAAUACCAAUUGCGAAGGCAGGUUACUACUAAUGGAUUGACGCUGAUGGA